rnacentral:rRNA from 1 species
UGCGCAGGCGGUUUUGUAAGACAGGCGUGAAAUCCCCGGGCUUAACCUGGGAAUGGCGCUUGUGACUGCAAAGCUGGAGUGCGGCAGAGGGGGAUGGAAUUCCGCGUGUAGCAGUGAAAUGCGUAGAUAUGCGGAGGAACACCGAUGGCGAAGGCAGGUCACUGGGCCAUUACUGACGCUGAGGAGCGAAAGCAUGGGGAGCGAACA